GGUGGGCGGCGACGGCGUCGGCGAUGACCUGCUGGAUGGAGAGGCGGGUGAGGGCGGUGCCGCGGGAGUGGAGGGGGUCGGAGAGCUCGCGGGCGAUGGAGACGGAGCGGGUGAUGUUGGCGCCGGUCUGGUCGGUGUAGAGGGCGGCGGUGGACCACCAGCUGUGGAGGGACGGCGGUGGAGCGGAGGCGUCGGAGAGGGAGAGGAGGAAGUCGCGGAUCGUGGACUGCUCGCCGGAGGUCCACCGGCCGUACCAGAUGAGGUAGAUGUUGAUGGGGGAGGUGAGGACCGGCCCCAUGUGGUACCGCAGGUGGACCAGGUUGGAGGAGCCCUCGUACCGCUUUGAUCCGGCGAUCCCAGCGCCGGCGAGCUGCUGCUGCUGCUGCGACAGCGGUCUGAGGGGCAGCAGUCGCUCCUUCAACGGGGCGGCGCCGUCGCAUCGAGCCAGGACGGAAGAGAG
rnacentral:lncRNA from 1 species